GUGUGACACUGCAGAUCCUGUUCCUGCCUCCUCCGCAGGGGCAGGAGAGAUUUUACAGCCCCAAGACAGUCACCUCCUGUGGCUGCAGUGACCGUUUGACCUGUAGWUAUGGUGUCCCCACUUCCAGAGGACCUGUGAGAACAGCAAGACAACCCCCAAAGCAGGUCAUUAGCCGGCACCCUGGAGCUCCUGCUUGGGAGGUGGAGGGACCUUGGAAAAUCCUGACCUUGGAAAACAAGGGAUGAAGCACUGGGAAGCAUCCCAACACUGUGCUUCGAGGAGGCUGGGAUGCUGCGGGCUGCCCAGCUCUCUCCCGUGUCAGCCCUAA